GGGUAACCUGCCCAAGAGAUCGGGAUAACACCUGGAACAGAUGUUAAUACCGGAUAACAACAGAUGAUGCCUAUCAACUGUUUAAAAGAUGGUUCUGCUAUCACUCUUGGAUGGACCUGCGGUGCAUUAGCUAGUUGGUAGGGUAACGGCCUACCAAGGCGAUGAUGCAUAGCCGAGUUGAGAGACUGAUCGGCCACAUUGGGACUGAGACACGGCCCAAACUCCUACGGGAGGCAGCAGUC
rnacentral:rRNA from 1 species